UACGGAGGGAGCUAGCGUUGUUCGGAAUUACUGGGCGUAAAGCGCGCGUAGGCGGCUUUGUAAGUCAGAGGUGAAAUCCCGGGGCUCAACUCCGGAACUGCCUUUGAAACUGCAUCGCUUGAAUCCGGGAGAGGUGAGUGGAAUUCCGAGUGUAGAGGUGAAAUGCGUAGAGAUCCGGAGGAACACCAGUGGCGAAGGCGACACGCUGGGCCGUACCUGACACUGAUGCGCGACAGCAUGGGGAGCAAACAGG
rnacentral:rRNA from 1 species